rnacentral:rRNA from 1 species
AAGAAUCUGCCCUCCACUUUGGGAUAACACCGGGAAACCGAUGCUAAUACCGAAUAUUGAAACAUAAGUGGCAUCACUGAGUUUUGAAAGAAUUUCGGUGGAGGAUGACUUCGCGGCCUAUCAGCUAGUUGGUGAGGUAAUGGCUCACCAAGGCAACGACGGGUAGCCGGCCUGAGAGGGCGACCGGCCACACUGGGACUGAGACACGGCCCAGACUCCUACGGGAGGCAGCAGUGGGGAAUAUUGGGCAAUGGAGGAAACUCUGACCCAGCGACGCCGCGUGCGGGAUGAAGGCCUUCGGGUUGUAAACCGCUUUCAGUAGGGAAGAAGCGAAAGUGACGGUACCUACAAAAGAAGCACCGGCUAACUAUGUGCCAGCAGCCGCGGCAAUACAUAGGGUGCAAGCGUUGUCCGGAAUUAUUGGGCGUAAAGAGCUCGUAGGUCGUUUGUUACGUCGGAUGUGAAAACCUGAGGCUCAACCUCAGGCCUGCAUUCGAUACGGGCAAACUAGAGUUUGGUAGGGGAGACUGGAAUUCCUGGUGUAGCGGUGGAAUGCGCAGAUAUCAGGAGGAACACCAAUGGCGAAGGCAGGUCUCUGGGCCAAUACUGACACUGAGGAGCGAAAGUCUGGGGAGCGAACAGGAUUAGAUACCCUGGUAGUCCAGACCGUAAACGGUGGGCACUAGUUGUGGGAACCUUCCACGGUUUCUGCGACGCAGCUAACGCAUUAAGUGCCCCGCCUGGGGAGUACGAUCGCAAGAUUAAAACUCAAAGGAAUUGACGGGGCCCCGCACAAGCAGCGGAGCAUGCGGCUUAAUUCGACGCAACGCGAAGAACCUUACCAAGGCUUGACAUAUAGGGAAAAGUGGCAGAGAUGUCAUGUCCGCAAGGGCUCUAUACAGGUGGUGCAUGGGUUGUCGUCAGCUCGUGUCGUGAGAUGUUGGGUUAAGUCCCGCAACG